UAGAAGAAUAAGCUACUUUUUUUUAUUUAUUUAGCUUCAUCGGUGGUAAUCCAGAAGUUUCAUUUUGAGGAAGGUAUUCAAAUCGGGGAUAAGACUUCAGUGUCCUGUACAGCCAAAUCGAGUUCAAAUAUAAUAUCUUAUUCUUGGCAGAAGGACGGAGAACCGCUCUCUGAAAAUGACGAGUUUAAAUUCAGAAUAGACGAAGAAUUUUCAGCUCUGACUAUAAAAAGCGUGAAGACAAAUCACUCAGGCAAUUACACUUGCAUCGCAACCAACCAACAACAGCACUUUGAUAAAUACACAGCAGAGUUGAUAGUGAAAGCUCCACCCAAGUGGCUCAUUGAACCGGAAAAUGCUACAGUUUUAGUCGGCUCAUCUUAUUCAUUUCGUUGUUCUGCCCAUGAUUCCCUCCUCCACAAAUUACAUGGAUCAAAGGCAGAGAAGAAGGGAUGAAAGGAGAGAUCCUCCAUUUGGAUCACAUUCAGAGUUCUGAUGAUGGAACAUAUGUCUGCGAAGCAAAUAACGGUGUUCCACCUCCCCUCAAGAAGUUGGUAGUAUUGAGAGUGCGUGGUACGAUAUCAUUCACUAUUAUUAUUCCUUAAAGACGACGAUCACUGCUCUAAUGGUUACUGUGCUCUACUCCGGGUUGUGAGUUCGAAUCCCACCGUAGGCAUGGAUGUCACUUUCUCUCCCUCUCUGUGUUCUGUGUCCUUUCUUCUGUCCGUGAAUGUAACCAGAUCUAUAUGGUUGUAUGGCGUGGGCGAAGCUACUC